CGGAGGAAAAGAAACCAACAGGGAUUGCCCUAGUAACGGCGAGUGAAGCGGCAACAGCUCAAAUUUGAAAUCUGGCGCAAGCCCGAGUUGUAAUUUGUAGAGGAUGUUUCUGGCGACGUGCCUUCCGAGUUCCCUGGAACGGGACGCCAUAGAGGGUGAGAGCCCCGUACGGUUGGAUGCCUAGCCUCUGUGAAACUCCUUCGACGAGUCGAGUAGUUUGGGAAUGCUGCUCUAAAUGGGAGGUAUACGUCUUCUAAAGCUAAAUACCGGCCAGAGACCGAUAGCGCACAAGUAGAGUGAUCGAAAGAUGAAAAGCACUUUGAAAAGAGGGUUAAAAAGUACGUGAAAUUGUUGAAAGGGAAGCGUUCAUGACCAGACUUGAGCAGGUUGAUCAUCCGUGGUUCUCCGCGGUGCACUCUGCCUGCUCAGGCCAGCAUCAGUUCGUUCCGGGGGAUAAAGGCUCUGGGAAUGUGGCUCCCUCGGGAGUGUUAUAGCCCACUGCGUAAUACCCUGGGAUGGACUGAGGUUCGCGCUCUGCAAGGAUGCUGGCGUAAUGGUCAUCAACGACCCGUCUUGAAACACGGACCAAGGAGUCGUCUUCGUAUGCGAGUGUUCGGGUGUCAAACCCCUACGCGUAAUGAAAGUGAACGUAGGAGAGAGCUUCGGCGCAUCUCCGACCGAUCCUGAUGUUCUCGGAUGGAUUUGAGUAAGAGCAUACGGGGCCGGACCCGAAAGAAGGUGAACUAUGCCUGUAUAGGGUGAAGCCAGAGGAAACUCUGGUGGAGGCUCGCAGCGGUUCUGACGUGCAAAUCGAUCGUCAAAUAUGGGCAUGGGGGCGAAAGACUAAUCGAACCUUCUAGUAGCUGGU
rnacentral:rRNA from 1 species